rnacentral:rRNA from 1 species
UUCUGACCGUAAACGAUGCCAACUAGCGAUCCGCCGGCGGCUUCUCGGCCCUGGUGGGGAGCUUCCCGGAAACGAAAGUCUUCCGGUUCCGGGGGAAGUAUGGUUGCAAAGCUGAAACUUAAAGGAAUUGACGGAAGGGCACCACCAGGAGUGGAGCCUGCGGCUUAAUUUGACUCAACACGGGAAAACUCACCCGGCCCGGACACCGUGAGGAUUGACAGAUUGAUAGCUUUUUCAUGAUUCGGUGGUUGGUGGUGCAUGGCCGUUCUUAGUUCGUGGAUCGAUUUGUCUGGUUUAUUCCGAUAACGAGCGAGACUCCAGCCUACUAACUAGUGCGGGCAUUGCCUCUGUGCUUGUCACUUCUUAGAGGGAUUGGCUGCGUCUAGCGGCACGAAACGGAGCAAUAACAGGUCUGUGAUGCCCUUAGAUGUCCGGGGCUGCACGCGCGCUACACUGGCAAAGGCAACGUGCUUGUCCGCCUCCGAAAGGAGCCGGUAAACCCUUGAAAAUUUGCCGUGAUUGGGAUCGGAAAUUGCAAUUAUUUUCCGUGAACGAGGAAUUCCUAGUAAGUGCGAGUCAUCAGCUCGCGUUG